CAAAGGGAGAAGGGCAAAGAAGAUGUUGAACUGCUGAGGCAAUCCCACCAACUCUCUCUUUCAUCUCCCCCUCUCUUCCCCUACCUGUGAAUCGCUUGAUUUUGUGGAUGAAAUUGAGAAGAUCUUAAAUCUCUUGCUCCUUCUCUAUCUCUGUCCAUCUCUCUCUCCGUCCCCCUCUCUCUGUCUACCUCUCUGCUCCUCUCUGUCAUCAAUUCAAACCCUAGAAAGUUGGGGAUUUUUCCAAUAUCAAAGAUUGUGGAAGUAAUGACAGAGAUUGUGGUUGAAAAAGUGCUUAGUUCAAAUUUCAAUAUUUAGGCAUAUGUUUUAAACUUUGGAAGGGAGCAAGGGAUGUGGAGGUGGAUCUUCUAUGGGAUAGGCUUCGUUUUUGGGAUUCCCUUUGGCUGUUGGUAUCUUCAGAAUUUAAGGAUUGUUCCAUUCAAGCUAUAUUGUAUUAUUGGAAUUCUGCUGUCAACUACAAGUUUUGUUCGUCUAGUGCCCUGUAUCUUUGUUAAGUUGUUUACUUAGUAUAGCUAGACCAGUGGACAACUUGUCCCUUGUAUUGUUCUGUUCUCUUAUUAAUGAAAUUAUGUUUCUCAUUA